GCACCUCCUGUAUAAGAUUGGCUAAGAAAAUUGGGGCUGUUCAUCCUGGAUAAGGGAAGCUGCAUCGAGACCUCAUAGCAGUGUUCCAGUAUCUGAAGGGGGCCUACAAGGACACCAGAGAGGGACUUUUCUUCAGGGACUGUAGUGACAGGACAGGGG